CUCUACAGCAAGUGAUGAAACUCACGAGGCAUGUGGUUGCUUUAAAAGAUGUCCUAAGCCCUGGAAGGAGAUUAGCUCUUGUGGUAAAUGCUGUGAAUUUUAGCUAAGAAUGAAGGCAACAUUGAUGACUAUAAAAAACCUGGACUAGUAUAAAAGGAUAUGAAUAUUUGCUUAUGACUGUUUGUAUACACAAAGCUUAUGAAUGCCAAAUAUGUCUUAAUAUUGAAAAAUAUAACAAUGGAAACGACUGUUGAAUGAUGUACAUAUACGAUGAUCCGCUUAAGAUUUUGAAUUCACACGGUCAAUGCUUGUUUAUGUACACAAAUUCUAAGAAUAUAACCGUAUCGUAAUUGGAAAACAUUGGAUCAGUUAAAAGGAAUACUUAAUGGCAUCUUAAAAGAUAUUAAUCAUAUUCUAACAAUUGAAUAUCUCAUAUUGAUCAUAAACCAUUCCGAUUUGACGGGACAUAGUUUUUAAAACAAAACGUAAAAUAGAAAGGGAUUUAUUAAUGCAGAUAGAAAGAA